UAACUUAGGACCUGAUCCAAAGCCCACUGAAAUCAAUGGAAAGAUGCCCAUUGACUUCGGUGGGCUUUGGAUCAGGCCCACAAUUA
rnacentral:pre_miRNA from 1 species